UUGAAUUUUAAUGAAGAGUUUGGUUGUAGCUGGCCCAUUCAUUUGGGCAUGUGCACACCUUCCUCUUUCAUCCCACACACACCUGUGAACCUGUGAGACAGAGAUGGGAAUUUACUUGCUGCUUUUUGGAAUACAAAGGCAAUAGGUUAUUGGACCCCCCCCCUCUGUCUACUCAAUUAAUAUAAACUCAAUUUAUUUUAAAACGAAUGUAAUGGAUGUAACACAUCUCAUAC
rnacentral:misc_RNA from 1 species